UGCUGCACAGAGACCAACACCAUGAGACAGGAGCAGAUACCCAGUGUACACUCAGACCAUUUGGCUUGUCUGGCCCGUGAACAGAGGCACACUUGCCGCUGCGAACAAGCCAUCUUUAUCACACCUUAUGGCUUCUGGACUGAAUGGAGCAGGGCCCUCGGUCCGCAUUGCUCUCUGCCAAACCACCUGCUGCCCUCCAGUGUACUGGGCCCAGCCCCCAUCCACCUGGACCUGCUUGAGCAGCUGCUGAGGACAGGCUGACACCUGGUGGCCGGGAGGAUGAGUGCCCUGGACGAGACCCAGAGAUGUCACAUAGCUGAGACACUGAUGCUACCCUCUGAGAGGGAUGGGAAGAUUUCUGCUCUACCUGAGGGCGCUUGUUUUAUCGUUGUUCUACAGAAAGAUUAUGCUGUGACCUGCUUUGACUCCAUGCUUGAAAGGCAUUGCAGCUGCUGUGCUAUCUAUUUGAUGUCCUGUCUCCUGAUAGUCAUCAUACCACAGUAAUCUGAGUGAACCUUAAUUCUAUAGAGCAUUACCAAGAGGGCCAACCUAUUUCCUGGAAUUCUGUGCCAAUCUUUGAUUAUAAUUCAUUUGAUACAUCCCAAUACUGUAUAAAGGAGAUCUUUAUUUAAUUGGUUGUAGUAAGAAACCUUUUCAUGUAACCCCCCCCAAAAGAAAAGUAAAAAAAGGGUAUUUUCAUGUGAAGAAAAUAAAUACUUAAAAUGCUG